CAGUCGCCACGGUAAUACGAGGGGGGCAAGCGUUGUUCGGAAUUAUUGGGCGUAAAGGGUGCGUAGGCGGCUUGACAAGUCUUGUGUGAAAUCUAUGGGCUCAACCCAUAGUCUGCACGGGAAACUGUCGGGCUUGAGAAUGGGAGAGGUGAGUGGAAUUUUCGGUGUAGCGGUGAAAUGCGUAGAUAUCGGAAGGAACACCUGUGGCGAAAGCGGCUCGCUGGACCAUUUCUGACGCUGAUGCACGAAAGCUAGGGGAGCAAACAGGAUUAGAUACCCCCGUAGUCCCUGUCUCUUAUAA
rnacentral:rRNA from 1 species